rnacentral:ncRNA from 2 species
UUACUGCACUGGGGGUGCCCGUCUUGGGCUGAGAUGCGAGCGAAUGCUCCGAUCCCUUUGGACUCGAACAGGUUCGUACCUGCGUGAGGAAGUGCGGCGGAUUUCAA